CGUCGGUUUUUUUGGGCGGGAGUUUCUGGCUUCACGUAUCGACGUCUCUUCUUCACGCGCAGCGCGAGCACCGAGGAGGAGGGAAACAGAAAAUGGCGGACGGUGUCGACCACAUCGAUAUUUACGCCGAUGUAGAAGAGGAAUUUAAUCAGGAGUCAGAUUAUCCUGUUCAUGAGCAGAUUGACCUGUAUGAUGAUGUCAUGUCACCAUCUGCCAACAACGGGGACGCACCUGAAGACCGAGAUUACCUGGACAACCUGCCUGCGCCGGGAGGAUCCGAGGGGAACAAAGGAGCUGCGCCGAACGUCGUCUACACCUACACUGGCAAACGAAUCGCUCUGUACAUCGGCAACCUCACAUGGUGGACCACUGACGAAGAUUUGACCGAUGCUAUUCACUCAGUAGGCAUCAAUGAUGUGCUGGAGAUCAAGUUUUUUGAGAAUCGAGCAAAUGGACAGUCAAAAGGGUUUGCUCUGGUCUGCGUGGGUUCAGACUCCUCGUCCAGGAAGCUGAUGGACCUGCUGUCCAAACGGGAGCUGCACGGACAAAACCCAAUCAUCACUCCUUGCAACAAACAGUCGCUCAGCCAGUUUGAGAUGCAGUCGCGAAAAAGCAUACAGUCUGGGCAGAUGUCCGGAGAGGGGAAGGCCGGGCCUCCAGGCUCAGGAUCUCGCAGUGGCUUCCCUCUUGGCAAGAAUCGAGGGCGCUUUCCCACCCCACCUGGCCCGGGAGGAGACCGCUUUCCUGGACCAGGUGGACCUGGUGGACCUCCACCACACUUCCCAGGUAUGCAAGGCCCGCCGCGUCCUCCCUCAGGUCCACCUGGGCCUCCAGGACCCCCUGGCCCCCCUCCACCUGGGCAAGGUCUGCUGCCGCCCCUCAGAGGUCCUCCCAACAGAGGAGACCGUCCUCCUCCACCCGUCAUGUUUCCUGGUCAGUUUGGUCAGCCUCCUAUGGGACCGAUGCCUCCUGGCCCGCCCCCACCUGGAUACGGGCCUCCCCCAGGCCCCCCUCCACUUCAGCAGGGACUGCCCCCUCCGGGACCCUUCCCUCCCCGUCCACCUGGGCCCUUAGGACCCCCGCUUGGCCUCGCACCUCCACCUCACAUGCAGGGACCCCCGCCUGGAGGUCCACCUCCGGCCCCUCACGUCAACCCGGCCUUCUUCCCACCGCCUGGAAACAACAACAUGCCAUCGUCUGACAGCAGGGGCCCACCGCCGGGUGAACUGUUCGGCCGCCCACCUCCAUACGACAGAGACUUCGGCCCUGGCGGCAGUAACUUCAGACCCCCUGUAGUAUGUGGCUUUGAGCCCUGGAUAAACGAAGGGUUGGUUGAUGUGAAAAACUCUGGCCAGCACUUGCACGGUACAAGUGAUCAAGGGGACAUGGAUUCGUCUCGCGCUCCUCUGAGUGAAGCUGAGUUUGAGGAGAUCAUGAAUCGUAACAGAGCGAUAUCCAGCAGUGCUAUCUCGAGGGCAGUGUCAGAUGCGAGUGCAGCUGAUUACGGCAGUGCUAUAGAGACUCUGGUGACGGCCAUCUCUCUGAUCAAGCAGUCGAAGGUUUCUGCUGACGACCGCUGCAAAGUCCUCAUCAGCUCACUGCAGGACUGCUUGCAUGGAAUUGAGUCCAAAUCCUAUGGCUCUGUGUCGAGACGGGAACGGUCCAGGGAGAGGGACCACAGUCGCUCUCAUGAGAAGCAUCGCCGCAAGUCUCGCAGCCGAGACCGACACGAGGACUAUUACAGAGAGCGCAGCCGCGAGAGGGACCGUCAUCGUGAGAGAGACCGUGACCGCGAGAGAGACAGAGAACGUGAGCGGGAGUAUCGCCGUUAGUUGGAGAGGAAGGUGUGUAUCCUGUUUGUCUCUCUGUCUUUGUUUUUCUCCCAUCUUUCUUAAGGAUUCAGAUGUACAUGCAUCUUAUCCUGCAGAGGUCGGGACAACAGGUACGUGAUCAGAAAAGCAUGAUCUGAGUACUCUGAUCCUUAAAACUUGUGUACCUGGUCUUGAGGCCGUUUAAUGUGCAAUAUCAGCUCCAGCAACCAUAAACUGUCCCACAAUUGUUGAUGAUAUCCAGUUUGUCUUUGAAAGGAUUUUGUGUAUUUCAGCAUUUUAUUUAAAAAAAAAUCAAAAUGCAUUUGCAUUUUAAAAUGCAAGUUAUUGCACUUAUUUGUCCAUUUAACUGAGAUUUGCUGCUACUUUUGAGACUAUGCCAAUGUCAAACAACACUUCCCUCCUUAUUUUACCUAAUUGACCAAUUGCUUGCCAAAAAAUUUUUUAAUUCAGGAUAUUUCAUGCCUUUAGAAUUGCGAUUAUGAAAUAUAAAUUCAACGUGUGACCAUAAAUGUAUAGAAAAUUGGUUGAAGUUUGAUGAGAGAAAAUGAAUGUAUUGAAAUGAGCAAAAUUGUUUCUCAGAUUGUACGUUGACAUUCCUGCAGGCAGAUUUGAUGUUGACAUAAUGGUUGUUCUAGUGUUUAGUUCCUCACUGAUUUGUUGUGAAAAGCAAAUGAAUGGAGUCAAAUUGAUCUGCUUUGGCAUUUAAAAACAUGAAGCUUGUAGUCUGUCAGGUUGAGUUGUCAUGGUGUAGGCAAAUUAAAUUUUUCAUGUGUAAGGUUCAGUCUUGAGCACAUCUGUACAGUAUAAUUUAAGAAAACGCAUUCUGAAUGUCCUUUGUCAGAACAAGCUAAAUGUAUUUUUACUGUCAAGGGUCAUUUUGUGCAUUCUAGUAUUUCAGUCACAUCUAGAUCGACAAUGUCAGAGUAACACCAGUUAUGCUUUUCAUUUUAUAUCAUCUCCUUUAAUGCUUAAUGAAUGGAGAAGAACUGCUAUGUUGCUUUUCCAGAGGUAACAUGAAAGUUUUUAGCAUUUUUAUGCUUUUUUGUUUCUUAUUCUCUUGGUAAACACACAUGUUUAUGAUGAUUUAAGUUUGAUUUAAUAUGCAACAGAUAUUUAAUAAAUAUUUUCACAAUCAGCAUUUAAAUGAAUGCAGCACAUGUCCUCAGUUCAAACCCUGUUGGUCUGAUUUUAGAAACUCAUUACUGUCUAACCUGUUGCUUAAUGGCUCUGCUGUGUGACGGUGUUUCCUACAGGCUAAAUUUGUACAUAAAUGUAAAUUUGUACAUAAUUUGUGUGUAAAUGCUGAGGACACUGUAAUAUCAUGUGUGAUGCAUUGUGAGUGACCCCACAUAUGCUAGAUUUAGAUGCAAAAAAAAAUACAAAACAGUUAAAGUAAAACUGCAACUCAGGUUUAGCAAAUAGAUUGUAAAUAUUUUGUUGAAUGUAAUUCUGGUAGCCUCCAAAUUGUUGUUCUGGCCUCCUAUCCAAAAAUAUGGCCAAUUAUUCAGGUGUUUGUUUGUUUUAUUGUUUUUUCUGUGUUCUCAACUGUACAACCUAGAAUUGUAGCAACACCAAUCAGAGAAAGUCAGCAAUGCACAAUUUGCAUUUUGAUUUGUUCCGCUGUUAUUAAUUCAGAAAUCAUGUUGCACUUUUAAUACGUGUUUUUAGUCUAAAGUAUGCAUCAGGUUAGAGAUUUUGAAUAGAGAUUUUAAGCACUGCAAACUUAAAGGAAUUGAAAGCAUUUGCUCCAUGCGUAGAGCCCGGUUCCAUUGGAUUUAUUGGGAUUUUUGAAUGUAGUGCCCAUUUGUCUGGAGUUCAUUUGCAGAAAUGACUGUAUUCCCAGGUUAUUUGUGUAGGUUUUUCUGAAGUAAUGGUCCUGACGUGGUAUUAAUCACACCCCUUUUCCUCUGUUCACUAUUGUGCUUUAUAAGAUGCUGUCACAGGAUUGGACAAACUUGUGUUUUUGUGAUCGUUACAGGUACUAGUAAUUGUAAUUCCAAACACAAACUACACUGUAA